rnacentral:rRNA from 1 species
AAGCCAUGCAUGUCUAAGUAUAAGCAAUUAUACCGCGAAACUGCGAAUGGCUCAUUAUAUAAGUUAUCGUUUAUUUGAUAAUACUUUACUACUUGGAUAACCGUGGUAAUUCUAGAGCUAAUACAUGCUGAAAAUCCCGACUUCGGAAGGGAUGUAUUUAUUAGAUUAAAAACCAAUGCCCCUCGGGGCUCUCUGGUGAAUCAUGAUAACUAGUCGAAUCGACAGGCCUUGUGCCGGCGAUGGCUCAUUCAAAUUUCUUCCCUAUCAACUUUCGAUGUUUGGGUAUUGGCCAAACAUGGUGGCAACGGGUAACGGAGGGUUAGGGCUCGACCCCGGAGAAGGAGCCUGAGAAACGGCUACUACAUCCAAGGGAGGCAGCAGGCGCGCAAAUUACCCAAUCCCGACACGGGGAGGUAGUGACAAUAAAUACUGAUACAGGGCUCUUUUGGGUCUUGUAAUCGGAAUGAGUACAAUUUAAAUCCCUUAACGAGGAACAAUUGGAGGGCAAGUCUGGUGCCAGCAGCCGCGGUAAUUCCAGCUCCAAUAGCGUAUAUUAAAGUUGUUGUGGUUAAAAAGCUCGUAGUUGAACCUUGGGCCUGGCUGGCCGGUCCGCCUCACCGCGUGCACUGGUCCGGCCGGGCCUUUCCCUCUGCGGAACCCCAUGCCCUUCACUGGGUGUGGCGGGGAAACAGGACUUUUACUUUGAAAAAAUUAGAGUGCUCAAGGCAGGCCUAUGCUCGAAUACAUUAGCAUGGAAUAAUAGAAUAGGACGUGUGGUUCUAUUUUGUUGGUUUCUAGGACCGCCGUAAUGAUUAAUAGGGACAGUCGGGGGCAUCAGUAUUCAAUUGUCAGAGGUGAAAUUCUUGGAUUUAUUGAAGACUACUACUGCGAAAGCAUUUGCCAAGGAUGUUUUCAUUAAUCAGGAACGAAAGUUAGGGAUCGAGACGAUCAGAUACCGUCGUAGUCUUACAUAACUAUGCCGACUAGGAUCGGAC